UGGGGAAUUUUGCGCAAUGGACGAAAGUCUGACGCAGCAACGCCGCGUGGAGGAUGAAGCCCUUUGGGGUGUAAACUUCUGUUGAUCGAAAAGAAAAAUUAGUAGUUAAUACCUGCUAUAAUGACGUUAUCGAUAUAGAAAGCACCGGCUAAUCUCGUGCCAGCAGCCGCGGUAAUACGAGAGGUGCAAGCGUUAUUCGGAAUUAUUGGGCGUAAAGGGCGCGUAGGCGGCUUUAUAAGUUUUUUGUUUAAUUUUCCGGCCUAACUGGAAGCAUGCAAAAAAUACUGUAUAGCUAGAGUAUAAUAGAGAGGAGUGGAAUUUUCGGAGUAGCGGUUAAAUGCGUAGAUCUCGAAAGGAACGCCAAUGGCGAAGGCAGCUUCUUGGG
rnacentral:rRNA from 1 species